UACAGAGGGGGCUAGCGUUGUUCGGAAUUACUGGGCGUAAAGCGCGCGUAGGCGGUGCUGCAAGUUAGAAGUGAAGUCCCGGGGCUUAACCUCGGAACUGCUUUUAAGACUGCAGUGCUUGAUGAUGGUAGGGGGUGGUGGAAUUCCUAGUGUAGAGGUGAAAUUCGUAGAUAUUAGGAGGAACACCAGAGGCGAAGGCGGCCACCUGGACCAUUUAUGACGCUAAAGCGCGAAAGCGUGGGGAGCAAACAGG
rnacentral:rRNA from 1 species